rnacentral:rRNA from 1 species
CCUACGUGGGGCAGCAGUGAGGAAUAUUGUUCAAUGGGCGGAAGCCUGAACCAGCCAAGUAGCGUGCGGGAUGAAUGCCCUACGGGUCGUACACCGCUUUUGCACGGGGAUAACGCCCUCCACUUGUGGCUGUCUGCAGGUACCGUGCGAAUAAGGGCCGGCUAAUUCCGUGCCAGCCGCCGCGGUAAUACGGAAGGCCCGAGCGUUCUCCGGAUUCAUUGGGCUUAAAGGGAGCGUAGGCGGUCGUUCAAGUCCGCUGUAAAAUCUCGCGGCUCAAGCGCGCCCCGCAGUUGACACUGGAAGCCGUGAGUUCAGAGCAGGCAGGCGGAAGUCGUGGUGUAGCGGUGAAAUGAAUAGA